AACAAACGCUGGCGGCGUGCCUAAUACAUGCAAGUCGAACGGGGAAAGCUUUCGGGUGAGUACUAGUGGCGCACGGGUGAGGAACGCGUGGAUAAUCUGCCUUAGAGUGGGGGAUAACUAGUCGAAAGAUUAGCUAAUACCGCAUAAGACCACGAGAGCUGCGGCUUUUGAGGUCAAAGGUUUUUCGCUCUAAGAUGAGUCCGCGUAAGAUUAGCUAGUUGGUGAGGUAACGGCUCACCAAGGCGACGAUCUUUAACUGGUCUGAGAGGAUGAUCAGUCACACUGGAACUGAGACACGGUACAGACUCCUACGGGAGGCAGCAGUAGGGAAUAGUGCACAAGGGAGGAAACUCUGAUGCAGCGACGCCGCGUGAGUGAUGAAGGCCUUCGGGUCGUAAAGCUCUGUCGCAGGGGAAUAACACAAUGAAGGUACCCUGUAAGAAAGGAUCGGCUAACUUCGUG
rnacentral:rRNA from 1 species